CCUGAGAAAAUGAACAUGAGGAUGAUGAUGUUGAAGAAGAAGAGAUGAAAGCGAGUGAGGAGUUGAACUUGAUUUGCGAUGCGAACCUUCUUCCCCAACGUGCGUGUUUCUGGAGCAGCUCCACCUCCAUUCGAUGCUACAAUCCAAAAUACACCGUGACAAAACCAAUGAAGGAAAAAACGAAGAAAAAAGUAGAACAAAUAAUAAACAGAGAGCUUGUGGAGAAAAAAAGCACCAAGAAGACCCCGUUUUCAGCCCCUUUUUUUCUUCUAACGCUUCUUCUCUGCAAGCUCCUCUGCAAGACCCAUUUAACUAC
rnacentral:lncRNA from 1 species